GAGUUUGAUCCUGGCUCAGGAUGAACGCUGGCGGCGUGCUUAACACAUGCAAGUCGAACGGACCCAUAUUGAAACCUAGUGAUAUAUGGGUUAGUGGCGGACGGGUGAGUAACGCGUGGGUAACCUGCCUUACACAGGGGGAUAACACUUAGAAAUAGGUGCUAAUACCGCAUAAGCGCACGGUUCCGCAUGGAACAGUGUGAAAAACUCCGGUGGUAUACGAUGGAUCCGCGUCUGAUUAGCCAGUUGGCGGGGUAACGGCCCACCAAAGCGACGAUCAGUAGCCGGCCUGAGAGGGUGAACGGCCACAUUGGGACUGAGACACGGCCCAAACUCCUACGGGAGGCAGCAGUGGGGAAUAUUGCACAAUGGGGGAAACCCUGAUGCAGCGACGCCGCGUGAGUGAAGAAGUAUUUCGGUACGUAAAGCUCUAUCAGCAGGGAAGAAAAAAAGUCCUUUGGACUUUGGACGGUACCUGACCAAGAAGCCCCGGCUAACUACGUGCCAGCAGCCGCGGUAAUACGUAGGGGGCAAGCGUUAUCCGGAUUUACUGGGUGUAAAGGGAGCGUAGACGGCAGCGCAAGUCUGGAGUGAAAUGCCGGGGCCCAACCCCGGAACUGCUUUGGAAACUGUGCAGCUCGAGUGCAGGAGAGGUAAGCGGAAUUCCUAGUGUAGCGGUGAAAUGCGUAGAUAUUAGGAGGAACACCAGUGGCGAAGGCGGCUUACUGGACUGUAACUGACGUUGAGGCUCGAAAGCGUGGGGAGCAAACAGGAUUAGAUACCCUGGUAGUCCACGCCGUAAACGAUGAUUACUAGGUGUCGGGGGGCCAAGGCCCUCCGGUGCCGCCGCAAACGCAUUAAGUAAUCCACCUGGGGAGUACGUUCGCAAGAAUGAAACUCAAAGGAAUUGACGG
rnacentral:rRNA from 1 species